rnacentral:rRNA from 1 species
GUGCCAGCCGCUGCGGUAAUACGUAGGUGGCAAGCGUUGUCCGGAUUUAUUGGGCGUAAAGGGAACGCAGGCGGUCUUUUAAGUCUGAUGUGAAAGCCUUCGGCUUAACCGAAGUCGGGCAUUGGAAACUGGGAGACUUGAGUGCAGAAGAGGAGAGUGGAACUCCAUGUGUAGCGGUGAAAUGCGUAGAUAUAUGGAAGAACACCAGUGGCGAAAGCGGCUCUCUGGUCUGUAACUGACGCUGAGGUUCGAAAGCGUGGGUAGCAAACAGGAUUAGAUACCCUGGUAGUCCACGCCGUAACGAUGAAUGCUAAGUGUUGGAGGUUUCCGCCCUUCAGUGCCGCAGCUAACGCAUUAAGCAUUCCGCCUGGGAGUACGAUCGCAAGAUUGAACUCAAAGGAAUUGACGGGGCCCGCACGAAGCGGUGGAGCAGUGUGGUUAAUUCGAAGCAACGCGAA